AACUAAGUAAUUUUUUUUUAAUAGUAAGAAAAACAAUUAUUGUAUAUGAAAUAGUUUUCCGAAAAGGUUAAUAGCUUACGGCUAUAACAGACGCAAUGCUAAAAUAUCAAACAACCUAAAAAAGAGAUUUAAGCUACGACAAGCUGCACAAGAUACUCUCCUUACUAAACAUGCUCAAAGAAAAAUGCACUUCCUCAGGAAGAACAUCAAAGAGUUGAUGAACAAAUCAUUGCGUUCAAAGGUCGAUAAACUUACAAAUAAAACAACCCAGCUAAACCGCACUAAUGGGGUCUAAAAAUAUUAACGCGUGCUGGAACAUCUGGAUUAGAAUAUGAUUUUUUGGCCGUCAUAUAGAUUGGGAAUAUCUUCAGAUGUAGUUUAUAUUUGGCAUAGGGUCUUCCCAAACAUAAAAACUGAAAUAUUUAUUACAGGUACUGUUCAUAAAAAUCGAAUAAGCAACUUCGAGUUACUGUCAGACGCAUUACUCAAAAAGCGAGUAGAAGGAGCUUUCGAUUUGAAAUGUUGUUUGAUAAUAAGCCAGUUCAACUUAUAUCUUCAUGUGCAGACCAUUAACCUGUUUGAAUGUGUCAUCGUUGGAGCCUAAAAGAAAAAGCUUACAUUGAUGGUGCAAGGCCUUCUUUUGCUUCGUACAAUGGGGGAAGGUCAAGGCCAAUAAUCGCCCACAAAAAAAUUUUAUAAGAAUCUUUUAUUGGUGCUUAGGAACACCUAAAACAAAAGCUCAACUUCCGGUAGCGCCCAAACGG